CAUAGGCAGUGGCUUGGUUAAGGGAACGGAACCCACCGGAGCCGUAGCGAAAGCGAGUCUUAAUAGGGCGAUUGUCACUGCUUAUGGACCCGAACCUGGGUGAUCUAUCCAUUUCCAGGAUGAAGCUUGGAUGAAACUAAGCAGAGGUCCGAACCGACUGAUGUUGAAGAAUCAGCGGAUGAGUUGUGGUUAGGGGUGAAAUGCCACUCGAACCCAGAGCUAGCUGG
rnacentral:rRNA from 16 species